AGUCGAGGAUCUUCGGCAAUGGGGGCAACCCUGACCGAGCGACGCCGCGUGGGCGACGAAGGCCUUCGGGUUGUAAAGCCCUGUCGAGGGGGAGAAAGGGGAAACCUUGAUCUAUCCCUGGAGGAAGCACGGGCUAAGUUCGUGCCAGCAGCCGCGGUAAGACGAACCGUGCGAACGUUGUUCGGAAUCACUGGGCUUAAAGGGCGCGUAGGCGGCCCGCCGCGUCCGGGGUGAAAGCCCACGGCUCAACCGUGGAACGGCCCCGGGUACGGGCGGGCUGGAGGGGGAUAGGGGCGUGCGGAACUGUGCGUGGAGCGGUGAAAUGCGUUGAUAUGCACAGGAACUCCGGUGGCGAAGGCGGCACGCUGGGUCCUUUCUGACGCUGAGGCGCGAAAGCCAGGGGAGCGAA
rnacentral:rRNA from 1 species